rnacentral:snRNA from 1 species
GGAUGUGAGGGCGAUCUGGCUGCGACAUCUGUCACCCCAUUGAUCUCCAGGGUUGAUUCGGCUGAUCUGGCUGGCUAGGUGGGUGUCCCCUUCCUCCCUCACCACUCCAUGUGUGUCCCUCCCGAAGUUGCUCACUAGGUGGAAGAGGACGACCAUCCCCAAUAGAGGAGGACCGUUCUUGGGUCGAGGGUAUAUGAGUAGCUGCACUUCCCUGCUAGAACCUCCAAACAAGCUCUCAAACUGGGCACAGUGGAUACCACCUGUAUGCCUAGCACUUAGGAGGUUGAGAUAGGAGGACCUCAAGUUCAAGGCCACCCUAU